AUCUUUGGAACAUGUAAUUUGGGAAUGCGAUAGAUUUACGUUAGAUCGUUUGAGGCUAGUAGCCUUUUUGGAAGAAAAGGGCUUUGAUCAUGGAACAGAGAUCUUGGAACUGUUAAUGUGUGGGAACGUGAGCAUAUGGAAAAGAGUAUUAAGAUUUCUUGAUGAGUUGGGUAAAGUUAUUUAAUGGAGGUCUCCCCAUCACCACGCGGGGCUCGCCCCCCGCUGAACGGAUGACAGGACGCCAGAUACACGACACGUAACAUUUCCUUUCUUUUCUCUUUAUUGUGUAAAAAGAUUAUGAGCGGAGAUGUGUGUGUGUCGAGCGCUAAAGAAAUUGUACAGUUUGGGAUAUGAAGUAUGAAUUGGCCGCUUUUUUCGUUGGGCAAAAUAGGGGGAAAUAUCCCCCUGAUAGAACGCCAUAUUGGGCUACGCCCAAGAAAAGCCUAUUUGUAAUGUAAUGUAAUGUAACCCUAAUGUGUCAAAACAAGGAGUGUCAACGGGGAACAAGACCAAUGUAAGAAGACUCGUUCAGAAUAAGAACAAGAACAAGAUUACCAAUUAAGAAAGCCUGAUUGUCAACUAAAUGAAAAGAAACGAAACAAGAAACACCACAAUGUCGCACCAUCAUGAAAAGGGCUAUGUCAACACCUCAGAGGAGUCAUGAAUAAAUUAAAUUAAAUUAGAUUAGAGAAUAUCAAAGAAUAUUCAAACAUCCAAGGACGCAUAACAGGUGACAAGACAGAAUGCAGCAAUAAUACAGUAGUGACAAGCGUGGCACAAAUUUAAAUAUAGAAAGUAGAAGCAAAAACAGACAGCAAUAAAGAAAUAUAAUAAUAGAAUGCGAGGAAGUGUAAUAAGAGAAAA